rnacentral:rRNA from 1 species
UACGUAGGGGGCAAGCGUUGUCCGGAAUCAUUGGGCGUAAAGAGCGUGUAGGCGGCCAGAUAAGUCCGCUGUGAAAUCUCGAGGCUCAACUUCGAGCUGUCGGUGGAAACUGUCUGGCUAGAGUCCGGAAGAGGAGAAUGGAAUUCCUGGUGUAGCGGUGAAAUGCGCAGAUAUCAGGAAGAACACCCGUGGCGAAGGCGGUUCUCUGGGACGGUACUGACGCUGAGACGCGAAGGCCAGGGGAGCAAACGGG